UAUAUCUUUAUUUCCAAAAGAUUAUUUUGACAGGUUGCACUCCCAUUAGUACGUUGUGAUAUAAUUUCAACUAGGCAUUAAUAUUAUGAGUUCAUUCUGCAAUGUGUAUAAAUUUUCAUAUCAAACGUAAAUUAUGUCAUCUGUUUCUUACCAAUUAAUCAUACUGCUGAACUAAAUAAUAUUGUAUUACAUGACCUUGCUUCGCAUUGAAAUAGUUUAAUAUUUACAAUUUAUUUCUUCUGCUGUUUUUAUACUUG
rnacentral:lncRNA from 1 species